CCCCAUUUUGUCAAUCUCCCUGUGUUUGUUUCUGUGUAUUAAAUAGAGCUGCUUUGACUCCCUGUCUUAGUAGCAUGGCCUGUUGUAGAAAGCACACCUGUAAAUUGUAUGGGGCGGUGCCUUGGGUAAUUGCCAGGGUAGGGUAACCUGAAUCAGGUUGAUGGAGUCUCAGAUAUGG